CGAACGGGUGAGUAAUACAUAAGUAACCUGCCCUAGACAGGGGGAUAACUAUUGGAAACGAUAGCUAAGACCGCAUAGGUACGGACACUGCAUGGUGACCGUAUUAAAAGUGCCUCAAAGCACUGGUAGAGGAUGGACUUAUGGCGCAUUAGCUGGUUGGCGGGGUAACGGCCCACCAAGGCGACGAUGCGUAGCCGACCUGAGAGGGUGACCGGCCACACCGGGACUGAGACACGGCCCAGACUCCUACGGGAGGCAGCAUG
rnacentral:rRNA from 1 species